GCGCUGGCGGGGAGGGUGCGUCAUGACGUCAUGAAAACCCAUCCUUAUAUACUAGCGCUGGGACGCCAUCUCGGUCUUUCGAGGUUGGCAGUUGGCGUAUUGCUUGUAAGUGUCAUUUUAGCUUAAUGGUUUCUUCGCUCCAGGCCUCCAGCCCUUGGCAGUUCAAGUCACCUUAUGCGUACAUGUAUUUCUCGGCCGGUCGCGAUCCUUUGCAGGGUUCACAAAAUGAAGAUGGUAGACGAUUACGCCUUGGGUGCGGCCGGGGCCUAAACUGCUACUCGGGUUGUGGGGGCUGAACUGCGAGAAACCCCUGGGCUCGCGUUCCCUGCCUGUGAUGAAGUCUGCGUUGGUAGGGACAUCUGAGACUGUUGAUGAAUGCCAACGGCUCUGAUGGCGGCGCAUGCCGAGUCACCCGAGUGGGCCUUUGUUAAUGACCUGGGCCUGGGCCGCCUCCGGCCUCUUGUUGAGGAAGGCCGGCGGAUAGGGUAGUCCACGUGGUGCCCAUCGGCUGCCUUCCGCGGUGCACCGUUACUUACCUCGUGGCGCCCCACCGUGUGCCGUGCGCUUUUUCUAACCUGUGAAGUGCACCCUUAAAGUCAUGAAAUUGUGGCUGGUGUAAACGACCUGGUAUAGAUGGUAGGAAAGACAUGUUUAGACUUAGUAGAACAAAGUGGUGUCUUAAAGAUCCUGAUCUUUAACCUAGGAAUGGUGCCGGACAUGAAUGCAGUGUGGCUUUUGAUGGCUUCUGAUGGACAGUUUCGUGCUGAAGGGGCGGAAGUGGCUGGCAAGAUCCUGAAGUUAAACACCCUGGCUAUGGGCAGGCAGGCAUUACACAGAAUUAGCUGGAAGUUGGAGGGGUGGACUUGA
rnacentral:lncRNA from 1 species